UACGAAGGGGGCUAGCGUUGCUCGGAAUCACUGGGCGUAAAGCGCACGUAGGCGGCCUCUUAAGUCGGAGGUGAAAUCCUGGAGCUCAACUCCAGAACUGCCUUCGAUACUGAGAGUCUCGAGUCCGGGAGAGGUGAGUGGAACUGCGAGUGUAGAGGUGAAAUUCGUAGAUAUUCGCAAGAACACCAGUGGCGAAGGCGGCUCACUGGCCCGGUACUGACGCUGAGGUGCGAAAGCGUGGGGAGCAAACAGG
rnacentral:rRNA from 1 species